AGCUAAAGGCGAAGAAAGCGUCGGACAUUUUGUUUGGUGUGCACGUUAUUAAAGUAUUAAAUAUUUGAUGAGAAAAUACGCGGGAUGGAUAAAGCGUGCGAGACUUCUUUGCAAAAACGUUUCAACGAACGCAAACGCGAGAUACUCGUAAGGCGGAAGAGGAAGGGAAGGGUGAGAAGGGUGAGAAGAGAAAGGAGGGGCCUUUGCGCGUUUCAGUAGAGAGUGUGCCAAGUGGAAUAUUUCCUAGAACGAAGUUCACCAUGAAUUCCACGGAGCACACUGGAUACAACACGAAGAAAAGCUUAGAAAUGUCCUUGCAAAUUGUUCAGUCCUCGAUACGUCGACAAGUAUGAAACUAAUAGGUUUAUCCCGAUUAUUAACGCACGAAAGACAUAAAAUCGAUGGACGUCGCUUAACAGGAUUAUUUCGAGAGGAAGCGUUCCGAGUAAGUGUGACAACACCAACGACAGGUAGAUGAUACAACAUCGCCUAUAACAAGCCGCCAAACAAGCGUUGCUUACUUUUAAUUCCUUGGAUUGUUGAAACCGAAGCGUUCAACAUUUUUUAUUCGCUGGUCGUACAUAGUUCGUUGGUUUGCCCAUGGGAUUAUUCGAUGAAGAGAGAGAGAGAGAGAGAUGGAAGGGAAAAAAAAAAGAAAAAUAGAAAUAAAUAAAAUGAGAAUAUCAGUUAGCAAGGAGUAUAUGCAUGAUAGAAACUACUAUUAUAUAUACUACGUAAUAAUAGUAUAUAUAUAUAUACAUAUGUAUAUAUGUGUAUAUAUAUAUAUAUAUAUAUAUAUAUAUCUAGCGCAUAGUCAACGUGCUCACGUGGCCAAUCAAGAGCGUGACCGGCAUGACGGUAGAUAAUCCGAAGAAAUUCGAUACUAAUAACAAGAUGACGUCGUACUGUUAUCUAAUACAAUAUUUUUCCUUUCUUUCUUUCUUUCUUUCUUUCUU